UAACAUCCGGAAACGGGUGCUAUACCGCAUAGUUUUCUUGAUCGCAUGAUCGGGAAAGGAAGACGGCCUUUGUGCUGUCGCUUAUGGAUGGACCCGCGGCGUAUUAGUUAGUUGGUGAGGUAACGGCUCACCAAGACGAUGAUACGUAGCCGACCUGAGAGGGUGAUCGGCCACAUUGGGACCUGAGACACGGCCCAAACUCCUACGGGAGGCAGCAGUAGGGAAUCUUCCGCAAUGGACGAAAGUCUGACGGAGCAACGCCGCGUGAGUGAAGAAGGUUUUCGGGAAUCGUAAAACUCUGUUGUCAGAGAAGAACAAGUUGGAGAGUAACUGCUCCAGCCUUGACGGUUAUCUGACCAGAAAGCCACGGCUAACUACGUGCCAGCAGCAGC
rnacentral:rRNA from 1 species